UACGUAGGGGGCAAGCGUUAUCCGGAUUUACUGGGUGUAAAGGGAGCGUAGACGGCAGGGCAAGUCUGGAGUGAAAGGCAGGGGCCCAACCCCUGGACUGCUCUGGAAACUGUCCGGCUGGAGUGCAGGAGAGGUAAGUGGAAUUCCUAGUGUAGCGGUGAAAUGCGUAGAUAUUAGGAGGAACACCAGUGGCGAAGGCGGCUUACUGGACUGUAACUGACGUUGAGGCUCGAAAGCGUGGGGAGCAUACAGG
rnacentral:rRNA from 1 species